rnacentral:rRNA from 1 species
AUGAUCGUGCGCACCUACGGCCGCAGAUCCCGCACCUUCUCCGACGGCGCCGCCGGCGCCGGCGCCGGCGGAGGCGGAGGGGACCGCGGGCUCUCGUCCUCGCAGGACGCGUUCGACUUCGACGCCGGGGAUGGGGACGACGAGCUCGCAGCGCUGGGCUCGUCCGCGUCGCAGCCCUUCCCGCCCUCGCAGGAGUCCUCCUCGAUGUGGGACUUCGACGAGGACCCGCCCACGCAGCCGCCGCCGCCCCGGCUAGAGGGGCCGCGCCGUAAGGGGCGCCGCGGGAGGCACGCCGAGCUCGAGCCCGAGGCGGCCACCGCCACGCUCAUGGAGGCCGAGGAGUACGGGGAGAUGAUGGAGAGCGUCGACGAGGUCAAUUUCGCGCUCGACGGGCUGCGGCCCACCGCGCCCAGGCGGGUGCGCCGGGCCAGCCUGCUCGCGCUGCUCGGGAUCUGCGCGUCCGCCGCGCGCCGCCGCGUCCUCCGGGCUCAGGGAUUGGUAAAGCAAAUUAUAGAUAAUGUUUUGGCUCUGAACAUUGAUGAUCCUUCCUGUGGUGUUGCGGCGGCAGCUCUUUUAUUUGUUUUGGCAAGUGAUGUACAAGAGAAUCAUGUGCUAAAUUCAGAAUCGUGUAUUCGGUUUCUUCUUAAAUUAUUAAAUCCUCCAAUGGACGCAAAUGAUGUCAAAGCACCAUCUAUAGGUUCCAAACUCCUUGGAAUCAGUAAAGUUCAAAUGUUUAAUGGCUCAAAUAAGGAUUCCGAUUCCAGCUCAGAGGAUAUCAUAUCAAAAGUUGAAGAAAUCCUCUUAAGCUGUAAAGAAAUCAAGCCACUUGACAGGGAUGGCAAGAGAACAUCAAGGCCAGAAUUAUGUUCAAAAUGGCUUGCUUUGUUGACAAUGGAAAAAGCAUGUUUGUCAGCUGUCGCAUUAGAGGAGACUUCUGACAUGGUGACCAGAGUUGGAGGGGAUUUCAAAGAAACAUUAAGGGCAUUGGGUGGUCUUGAUAAUAUUUUUGAUGUUAUGGUUGAUUGUCAUUCCUCACUGGAGGGAAUUGUAAAGGACACCUCCACUCUGUCCUUGGACAUGAAGGAAGGAACAUCUUUGCAAAGUGCUGCGCUCCUCCUGAAAUGUUUGAAAAUUUUAGAGAAUGCCACAUUCUUAAGUGAUCAGAACAAGACCCAUUUGCUCAGCAUGAGUAGAAAAUUGAGUCCCAGAGGCUCUACAGUUUCUCUUGCUGGUGUCAUUAUCAAUAUUGUUGAAUUAUUAUCAGUACUGUCUCUCCUUCAGAAUUCUUCCACUGUUUCAAGCAGUACAGAUAAAAAAUCUUCCAAAGGUUGUAAAGGGGGCUGCUCUGCAGACAUCAAGGGUGCAACUACAUUGAAUGGUCAUGGCAAGGGCAAGAACUCGAAGAAAAAUAAGCUUUCGCUGAACCAGAAAUGCCAAAAUUGCUCAUCUUCCAAAUUAGAUGCUUCCCAUAUUAGUAUAUCUUCUACUAGUGACGUUGGCCUAUCACAAAUGACACUUGAUUGUUCCCAGUCUACUUCAAGCAACAGGGCAUCAAGUGGUUCAUUAGGUGCGAGGCACAGCAAUGGUCUUGGUCUUGGUCUGAAGCUUAAUAUAAGAAAGGAACGUGGUAAAGCCAACCCAAUUAGAGGCUCAAGUGGAUGGGUUUCUAUAACGGCACAUAGUUCUGAUGGAACGUCCAGAGAAAUGGCAAAACGACGACGUCUGUCUGAAAAUGGCAACAGUGAUUUGAGAAGUGGCAGUGGUAGUGAUCCUUUUGCAUUUGAUGAUGUUGAUCAGGAGCCUGAACUAUUUGGUCAAAAAAAGAGAUCAACACAUGGCCGUCAAGCAAAAUCAGCGAAUGAGAAAUUGUCGGACGAUCGUGGGAUUGCUGCGAUUGGAAGUCAGGAAUCAUAUCAACCUGAAGAUAAUCAUCAUCUGGGUGCAACAUCCCAUUCUAAUGUUGACGAUGAUUCCAGUCUUUUGGAAGACUGCCUUUUGGCAUCAAUUAAGGCUUGCCUCCUAUUGAAGGUUGAAGGUUCUGCUAAAAGUUACAAUAAGCUUAUUAAACUGAAGAUAAAAUUAAUCCAGAGCAUGAAUGAACUUGCUCGUAUGGUUCUUAUGAACUUAGCAAAUGACAACCCAUCUGGUUGUGAACAUAUUGCAUCAUGUGGUGGACUUAACACCAUGGCCUCCUUGAUCAUCAAGCAUUUCCCUUCAUUUGAUUUCUCCGUGGACACUGGCCGAGAUGUCGAUCUUGGACAAGACCUCACCGAUUCUGAGGACAGCAAAGCAUGCCAAGUGAAAGCUAAGCAACUGCGAGAUCAUGAGCUUGAUUUUCUGGUUGCCAUAUUGGGCUUGCUUGUCAAUCUCGUGGAAAAAGAUAGCCUUAAUAGGGUGCGGCUUGCAUCUGCCCGUGUUUCUGUGGAUCUGUCUAAGAACGCACAGAGUGAAAAGGCACAGAGGGAUGUUAUACCACUCCUCUGUUCAAUCUUCUUAGCAAGUAAAGGUUCUGGGGAAGCUUCUGCAACUAUAUCACCGGAUGAUGAAGAGUCAAUGUUGCAAGGAGCACGGGAAGCUGAAAUGAUGAUCGUGGAGGCCUAUGCAGCCCUCGUGCUUGGCUUUCUUUCGAUAGAAAGCAUGAAGGUUCGAGGAGCGAUUUCCAGCUGCCUUCCAAAUAACAACUUGAAAGUUCUUGUGCCUGUGCUAGAGAAAUUUGUGGCGUUUCAUCUGCAGCUUAAUAUGAUGACAGACGAAACACACUCAUCUGUUACAGAAGUUAUCGAAAAAUGCAAACUAUGA